rnacentral:tRNA from 1 species
AAGGUGCUAGUAUAAUAUUCUACUACACUGCCUUGUCGAGGCCGGAUUGUGGGUUAAAAUCCCGCGCACCUUA